rnacentral:rRNA from 1 species
GACGAACGCUGGCGGCGUGCCUAAUACAUGCAAGUCGGACGCACAGUCUAUACCGUAGCUUGCUACACCAUAGGCUGUGAGUUGCGAACGGGUGAGUAACGCGUAGGUAACCUGCCUAUUAGAGGGGGAUAACUAUUGGAAACGAUAGCUAAUACCGCAUAACAGUAUGUAACACAUGUUAGAUGCUUGAAAGAUGCAAUUGCAUCGCUAGUAGAUGGACCUGCGUUGUAUUAGCUAGUAGGUAGGGUAAUGGCCUACCUAGGCGACGAUACAUAGCCGACCUGAGAGGGUGAUCGGCCACACUGGGACUGAGACACGGCCCAGACUCCUACGGGAGGCAGCAGUAGGGAAUCUUCGGCAAUGGGGGGAACCCUGACCGAGCAACGCCGCGUGAGUGAAGAAGGUUUUCGGAUCGUAAAGCUCUGUUGUUAAGGAAGAACGAGUGUGAGAAUGGAAAGUUCAUACUGUGACGGUACUUAACCAGAAAGGGACGGCUAACUACGUG